rnacentral:rRNA from 1 species
UACAGAGGGGGCAAGCGUUGUUCGGAAUUACUGGGCGUAAAGGGCGCGUAGGCGGCCAACUAAGUCGGACGUGAAAUCCCCGGGCUCAACCCGGGAACUGCGUCCGAUACUGGAUGGCUUGAAUCCGGGAGAGGGAUGUGGAAUUCCUGGUGUAGCGGUGAAAUGCGCAGAUAUCAGGAGGAACACCGGUGGCGAAGGCGGGUCUCUGGGCCGAUACUGACGCUGAGGAGCGAAAGCGUGGGGAGCGAACAGG